rnacentral:rRNA from 1 species
GACAGAGGUGCCAAGCGUUAGGCGGAAUCACUGGGCUUAAAGCGUGUGUAGGCGGACUUGUAAGUACCUUGUGAAAUCCCACGGCUCAACCGUGGAACUGCUUGGUAUACUGCUUGUCUUGAGCCACUUAGGGGCUACCGGAACAAAUGGUGGAGCGGUGAAAUGCGUAGAUAUCAGGAGGAACACCGAUGGCGAAGGCAGGUCUCUGGGCCACUACUGACGCUGAGAAGUGAAAGCAUGGGGAGCGAACAGG